CGGAAACGGCCCAAAAGCGAGCCCAAAGCUACUGGAAACCCACUCUGUGGGUUGCUGGUUUGGCUGCAAAACAGAGGGGAAAUGAGAUGGUUGGGGGCUGAGAAGGGUCGGGAAAGCAGGUGGCGGUCCAGUGAGGCUGCACGGCGACUCCGGUGGCCUGCUCAGCCGCUCACGGAGACUGGAACGAGGUCGGACAGAGGCGGCUAGAGGCUGGACGGCGUUGGACUGGCGUGAAGAGAGACGCACAGCAGCUCGGCGGUUGUGGAGGACGCGUGAACGACGAAACAGCGGCGGGCGGUGGAGCAGACGGCGGUCCGGCGAGCUACUCCGGUCUUCCUCUUCUCUCGGCGCUGCUGCUUCUGUUUUCUGCUUCUGUCUUCAUUCGAACGAUGAGGGGGAGAGAGAGUACCGAGAGAUAGAAGAAGAUAAGAGAGAGAGUGAAGUUUGAAAAGUCAAAAAGUGAAAAG
rnacentral:lncRNA from 1 species